GAAAUGCGAUAAGUAAUGUGAAUUGUAGAAUUCCGUGAAUCAUCGAAUCUUUGAACGCACAUUGCGCCCUCUGGCAUUCCGGGGGGCAUGCCUGUCCGAGCGUCAUUACGCACCCUCAAGCCCGGCUUGUGUGAUGGGCCCCGGCGUCUCGUUCGCGAGACGGGCCCGAAAGGCAGCGGCGGCGUCGACCCGAUGAGCCCGAGCGUAUGGGGACUUCUGUCACACGUUCGCGGUGCGGACCGGCGCCUGCUUGACUUUUCUGAUUAUCCAGGUUGACCUCGGGUCAGGUAGGGAUACCCGCUGAACUUAAGC
rnacentral:misc_RNA from 1 species